rnacentral:snRNA from 1 species
AUCGCUUCUCGGCCUUUUGGCUAAGAUCAAGUGUAGAAAUAUCAAAGUUAAUCACCAAUUUUUCUGUCCUUCACAUCUU